UUCUGCUUGUGCGGUGUGAAAUUUUUUACAUUUUUACAAUUUUUUUACAAUUUUCACACUUAGAAGCGGCAGCAAUCUGUGAAGCACAGAUUUUCCGUGGUGCUACGAUCGGCAAUUUCUUAAAAUUCAACCAGAAGUUCAAGCUUAGCGUCUGCAAGUGAUGAUUCCAUGCACUGCAAGCGCUGCUUGCAGUUUGCGCACCUACUAAAAGAAGGUCGUUGCUCAAAACACUGCAGGUCCAUUCCAUUUGCAUAGGAAAUACUCAGCCAGAGUUAGCUGCUUGCUGCUACUCUCAACAGAUAAUGGAAUCCUCACCAAUGGUUCUAUCAAUGGGACCACAGCCUCCAAUGGAGCGCCAGCAAAAACCGAUUCUUCUGUUACUUCGCACGCACC